ensembl:lncRNA
GGGCUCCUUCCACAAGGGAAGGCCAGGAAGCCUCAUCGCAGGCCCCCCCUUGACCUUCUGAGAUUGCAACACGACGAAAGAGGAACAGAAACGCAGGCACCCAAAUCACCAGCACAAACUUGAUAGAAGACACGGCCUUGGGGUUGGCUCUGACAUACGGUACUUGACAUUCAGAGUCUUGGGUUCUCACCCCAGCCCCUGUUCCCUCGCCAGCUGUGUGGCUGUGGGCAAAGCCACUUCCACUAUCUUGAGAGCCACACCCGGCCCUGUCGUUCUGGGCCUGCCUCCGUCUCUCCCGCGCUCACGCCAAGGAGAACGCGGACGUAAGAAUCGGGCAGAUCCGACAGUCGCGGACAAAGGGUCACGCCGCCGCACCCUUCCCGACACCCGCGGCCUCUGCGGCUCGACUUUGCGGCCACCCCUGUGAAGAGGUGGAUCCAGCCCCCGCCCCCAGCUUGAACCUGGGCUGGCCCCGUGACUUGCUUGGGCCAACAGGAUGUGGCAGAAGCGACCGUGCGCCCGUUCCGAGUCCAACCCCCAGCGGGGCUCUAGUGCUUUCUCUUAGAACCCCGGCAGCUACCGCGGGAACUGGCUCGAGCAGGCGUGCCGGAGGGCGAGAGACCCGGGGCACCCCACCCCGGACCAGCUCGUAACCACGCGAGGACGUCCGGCGGGGGUCAGCGAGGCUGCCUCCCUGCCCCACCUGGGGCUGACCGCACCCCAGAUGAGACGGGUGCCCACGACCCCGUAGCGCCUGGAGGAAUGACGAACGGCUGUUGAAAGCCGUCAGGGUUUGGGGGGGUCUGAUCCGCAGCAAUGGCUCACCGACGGACGUGUCCAAACGAUUCUGGCGGCUCACAACUAUUACCCCAGAGCUUCGCGAAAAUCCCGUGGGUUCAGAUGUGGCACCCUCACUUGACGCGAGGAAACGGAGGCUCUCCGAAAAGGGAGGUGAUUUCCUUUGCGUACAUAACCGGUAAACCACAAAUCUGGGGUUCGGGGCCAGCCCCCCUGACUACACAUCCCGAAUUCCUCCCACCACACUUCGCUGCCCACAGGGGAUCCUUGAGUGGUCAAGGACGCUUCCUCCGGCCUUCGUCCAGUCCUCUGGUAUCAUGUCCGAGCCCCCACCACGCUGAGGAUGCAGAACAGCGCGAUCCCGGAGUUGAAAAUCCGUAA